rnacentral:rRNA from 1 species
UACGUAGGUGGCAAGCGUUGUCCGGAAUUAUUGGGCGUAAAGCGCGCGCAGGCGGUUCUUUUUAAGUCUGAUGUGAAAGCCCACGGCUCAACCGUGGAGGGUCAUUGGAAACUGGAGAACUUGAGUACAGAAGAGGAAAGCGGAAUUCCACGUGUAGCGGUGAAAUGCGUAGAGAUGUGGAGGAACACCAGUGGCGAAGGCGGCUUUCUGGUCUGUAACUGACGCUGAGGCGCGAAAGCGUGGGGGAGCAAACAGG